rnacentral:rRNA from 1 species
AGACCGGCGCACGGGUGCGUAACUCGUAUGCAACCUACCUUUUACAGGGGAAUAGCCCAGAGAAAUUUGGAUUAAUGCCCCAUGGUAUAAUUUAAUGGCAUCAUUUAAUUAUUAAAGUUCCAACGGUAAAAGAUGGGCAUGCGUCCUAUUAGCUAGAUGGUAAGGUAACGGCUUACCAUGGCUACGAUAGGUAGGGGUCCUGAGAGGGAGAUCCCCCACACUGGUACUGAGACACGGACCAGACUCCUACGGGAGGCAGCAGUGAGGAAUAUUGGACAAUGGGCGCAAGCCUGAUCCAGCCAUGCCGCGUGCAGGAAGACGCAUCUAUGGUGUGUAAACUGCUUUUGUACGGGAAGAAACACUCCCUCGUGAGGGAGCUUGACGGUACCGUAAGAAUAAGGAUCGGCUAACUCCGUGCCAGCAGCCGCGGUAAUACGGAGGAUCCAAGCGUUAUCCGGAAUCAUUGGGUUUAAAGGGUCCGUAGGCGGUUUGAUAAGUCAGUGGUGAAAGCCCAUCGCUCAACGAUGGAACGGCCAUUGAUACUGUUAGACUUGAAUUACAAGGAAGUAACUAGAAUAUGUAGUGUAGCGGUGAAAUGCUUAGAUAUUACAUGGAAUACCAAUUGCGAAGGCAGGUUACUACUUGUGGAUUGACGCUGAUGGACGAAAGCGUGGGGAGCGAACAGGAUUAGAUACCCUGGUAGUCCACGCCGUAAACGAUGGAUACUAGCUGUUCGGAGCAAUCUGAGUGGCUAAGCGAAAGUGAUAAGUAUCCCACCUGGGGAGUACG